CCAGAGAUGGCUUGGUUGCUCGAAAGAGAACCUGGACACAGGUGCUGCAUGGCUGUCGUCAGCUCGUGUCGUGAGAUGUUGGGUUAAGUCCCGCAACGAGCGCAACCCUUGUCAUUAGUUGCCACCAUUCAGUUGGGCACUCUAAUGAGACUGCCGGUGACAAACCGGAGGAAGGUGGGGAUGACGUCAAGUCCUCAUGGCCCUUAUGGGUAGGGCUUCACACGUCAUACAAUGGUCGGUACAGAGGGUUGCCAACCCGCGAGGGGGAGCCAAUCCCACAAAGCCGAUCGUAGUCCGGAUUGGAGUCUGCAACUCGACUCCAUGAAGUCGGAAUCGCUAGUAAUCGUGGAUCAGCAUGUCACGGUGAAUACGUUCCCGGGUCUU
rnacentral:rRNA from 1 species